GCUCACCGGCUCCCUAUACUGGUGACAGCAGCAUUAAACGUGGAGGAUGUGCGGUUUAUUCCCCUGGGAGACUGACUAGAUCACUAACCAAGAAUGGAGUGGUGGUCAUGUGAUUUGGAUCUCAGCAGCCGUCCACCCACGAAGAGAAAGUCCACUUUCGAAAACCAGUGCAAAAAACAAAAAAAGAAGACAAAAAGAAAUGGGUUGAGAAGCUCCAGCAAACAGUGAUGAGACUUACGGUCGUCCUCGCCCUGCGCCCUGACCAAGAGCACCGCUGCACCGAGCAGCAGCGCGAGCCGCAAAUCCACAAAGCUGAACAUGUCUAGAUGUCACCAGACAUGUAGACUCUUUGAGGCGAGUGAGGAAAAAAAAAUGCUGGGGGAUGUUUUCUCUUGCUGCUACACUCCACUCAUACACGGGGUGUUUUUGGGGCAGGGUCCGCUCGUCUGUUCACAAUCCUCCUGACCCCAGCAGAAAACUCCCUACUGCCUACACUCACUUUCUGACGGGGUUUUUAUAUGGGAGCCUGAAGAACUGGGAGGUGCUGGGGGGGGCCUGGACGGACUGGGGACGCACCCUCAUUACCCUGCCGCUGCUGCUGCUGCUGCACGUUUAGGGAAGAAGAAGAAUGGACCCCUCCUUCACAAAAAAAAACAGAAGAAAAGAAGAAGAAAAAAACCCAACAGUUCCCUCCUUCUAUAAUUCCACAGCCAAACUGUUGGAACUGGGAUCAGAGCUGGAAGGGGGGUGGGGAGGCGGGCAAGCAAGAAAACCUUAUCCUAAAGGACAUCCAGGGGUUCAGAGGACGGUUUAUAUUUCUGGUUCUGGUCUACAUCCUGAUUCCCUUUGAUUUUUCACAGUGCUCCUGGGGACCUGGCUUCAGCUUGAGGUCUAGUUCACAAGCAAAAUUACAGUAAAGAAUUGGUCAAGUUUUA